rnacentral:rRNA from 1 species
AGCNGCCGCGGUAAUUCCAGCUCCAAUAGCGUAUAUUAAAGUUGUUGCAGUUAAAAAGCUCGUAGUUGAAUUUCGGGGUUAGUAGGUUGGUCAUGCCUCUGGUAUGUACUGGUCUCACUGAUUCCUCCUUCCUGAUGAACCUUAAUGCCAUUUAUUUGGUGUUUUGGGGAAUUUGGACUGUUACUUUGAAAAAAUUAGAGUGUUUAAAGCAAGCUAACGCUUGAAUACAUUAGCAUGGAAUAAUGAAAUAGGACGUUCGAUCCUAUUUUGUUGGUUUCUAGGAUUGACGUAAUGAUUAAUAGGGAUAGUUGGGGGCAUUAGUAUUCAAUUGUCAGAGGUGAAAUUCUUGGAUUUAUUGAAGACUAACUACUGCGAAAGCAUUUGCCAAGGAUGUUUUCAUUAAUCAAGAACGAAAGUUAGGGGAUCGAAGACGAUCAGAUACCGUCGUAGUCUUAACCAUAAACUAUGCCGACUAGGGAUCGGAUGAUGUUAAUUUUUUAAUGACUCA